rnacentral:rRNA from 1 species
GAUGAACGCUGGCGGCGUGCCUAAUACAUGCAAGUCGAGCGAACAGACGAGGAGCUUGCUCCUCUGACGUUAGCGGCGGACGGGUGAGUAACACGUGGAUAACCUACCUAUAAGACUGGGAUAACUUCGGGAAACCGGAGCUAAUACCGGAUAAUAUAUUGAACCGCAUGGUUCACUAGUGAAAUACGGUUUUGCUGUCACUUAAAGAUGGAUCCGCGCCGCAUUAGCUAGUUGGUAAGGUAACGGCUUACCGAGGCAACGAUGCGUAGCCGACCUGAGAGGGUGAUCGGCCACACUGGAACUGAGACACGGUCCAGACUCCGACGGGAGGCAGCAGUAGGGAAUCUUCCGCAAUGGGCGAAAGCCUGACGGAGCAACGCCGCGUGAGUGAAGGUCUUCGGAUCGUAAAACUCCGUUAUUAGGGAAGAACAAAUGUGUAAGUAACUAUGCACGUCUUGACGGUACCUAAUCAGAAAGCCACGGCUAACUACGUG